GAUGAACGCUGGCGGCGUGCCUAAUACAUGCAAGUCGAGCGAGCAGACGAGGAGCUUGCUCCUCUGACGUUAGCGGCGGACGGGUGAGUAACACGUGGAUAACCUACCUAUAAGACUGGGAUAACUUCGGGAAACCGGAGCUAAUACCGGAUAAUAUAUUGAACCGCAUGGUUCAAUAGUGAAAGACGGUUUUGCUGUCACUUAUAGAUGGAUCCGCGCCGCAUUAGCUAGUUGGUAAGGUAACGGCUUACCAAGGCAACGAUGCGUAGCCGACCUGAGAGGGUGAUCGGCCACACUGGAACUGAGACACGGUCCAGACUCCUACGGGAGGCAGCAGUAGGGAAUCUUCCGCAAUGGGCGAAAGCCUGACGGAGCAACGCCGCGUGAGUGAUGAAGCUCUUCGGAUCGUAAAACUCUGUUAUUAGGGAAGAACAAAUGUGUAAGUAACUAUGCACGUCUUGACGGUACCUAAUCAGAAAGCCACGGCUAACUACGUG
rnacentral:rRNA from 1 species